GGCUUAGUCUAGUCUCUGUGACCGCUGCAAGAAGAGCCUCUUUCCUGGGUACAGGAAGGGAAGGGUUAACUUUCGGGUGAGGAGUGGGCUCUUAAGGGUUAAUUUUCAGGUCCUUGCCCACAGGAAGGAUUUUGGGUCACGACUGGAGGACCUGUCUAGACUGAAUGUCAACAUAUUGGGGCAAAAUUAGCACUUACGUUUUACAUAUAAAUAAUCGGGACACCGGGAGGUUCAGAGACUCAGCAACGACAACAGCCUGUAGGAGUGAGCAUGGAGAUGUGUCUGUUUGGUACCCAAAGGGGGUGAAAAUAAUCUACUGCCCCACAAUGAAAAAGCAAAGGGAAGGUAAAAAGGAGAGUCGAGAAAAAUCUAGAAUUUCAAGAGAUGGUGGCUUCUGUACUUGAAGGACUAAUGAGAAUUCUUCCCGGAGUAAUGGACGUUGAGAAGACUACAGAGACCGCUCCAACGCAAAAGAAAAAGAAAACACACCAUGAGGGUCAUCAUGGACACUUAUCAUGUUCCCAUCUCAGAGGUGACCUCUGCACCCAGCAGUCAGUGCUUGUCCCUGGAAGGAGCCAAGGCAGGAGUUCCCUCUGUAGAAGAGCCCUCAGUCUUCGAUGGGGUUGGGCAGGACUGAGGGUUUGUGAACAAAGACCAGUGUUCCAGGAGAAUAAUACCAGAGACUGCACAGCCUCCAUCCAGGGAACUGAGGUGUGUUCCUCUCGAGCCUCAGCUGGACCACAGUUCCCACCAGAUUUGAGCCUGGACUCUCUGCAGGUGCUUUCUGCGGACCAAGCAUGCCACUGACUUAUGCCUACAUCCCUCAGCCGAGAGUAAGCAGGCUCCUCCAAACACAGCCUUCCUUAGCAGCCGCUCUGAGGUCUGAGCUGCUAGCACACGGCCAAGGCAUGCUGGCACAGUCGCAGGUUUCCAGCUUCCCCAGGCCGAGGUCUCCGGGAUCCUAGAACAGCCCAAAUCUCCCGGCUUCCCAGUCUCUGCCUCCCUACCCUCCUGGAAGCUGGCCUUGCAACCCCUCUCUCCUGACCUAGCCCCCCCUGUGGUACAUAUUCUCCUUCCCCGGUGCUACCACAACCAUACCUGACAUGAAGUGAUGGCUACUCCAAAUAGCUUAGUUGUCCCUACACCCCAGCCAGUGGCUGUGCUGCCUUAUUGCAAUAAAAAUGCCCAUAUACAAGUAUGCACACACACGUGCACAUACAUGCACGCACCCCUAUUGACUUCUGGUCUUAGGCUCUCAAAUACAGGCUGAGGGUUUGUGGGGACUCAUCCCGCAGCUACGUGUGCUCAUCGAGAACAGGGCAUUUGUGGAGGCCAUGGGCCAUGAAACCCAUGUGUUUAUCCCAUAAGAUGAUUCCUUGGGGUACAGAGUAGAGAGGAUUCCUUUGCAUAACUUCCUCCCAUGUUUCUGUUCUUGCCUGACCUCUGCACAAUGGGACUUCACAGGACGAGCCUAUGCGCCCCACUCUUUAU